rnacentral:misc_RNA from 1 species
GAUGAAGAACGCAGCGAAAUGCGAUAACUAAUGUGAAUUGCAGAAUUCAGUGAAUCAUCGAGUCUUUGAACGCACAUUGCGCCCCUUGGUAUCCCGAGGGGCAUGCCUGUUCGAGCGUCAUUUCACCACUCAAGCCUGGCUUGGUGUUGGGCGACGUCCUCUUUGGGGACGCGCCUCGAAACGCUCGGCGGCGUGGCACCGGCUUUAAGCGUAGCAGAAUCUUUCGCUUUGGAAGUCGGGGCCCCGUCUGCCGGAAGACCUGCUCGCAAGGUUGACCUCGGAUCAGGCAGGGAUACCCGCUGAACUUAAGCAUAUCAAUAAGCGGAGGA